rnacentral:rRNA from 1 species
AGGGGUAAAGCACUGUUUCGGUGCGGGCGGCGAAAGCUGUACCAAAUCGUGGCAAACUCUGAAUACUAGAUAUGCUAUUUUCUGGCCAGUGAGACAGUGGGGGAUAAGCUUCAUUGUCAAGAGGGAAACAGCCCAGAUCACUAGCUAAGGCCCCAAAAUGAUCGUUAAGUGGCAAAGGCGGUGAGAAUGCUUAGACAGCCAGAAGGUUUGCUUAGAAGCAGCCAUCCUUUAAAGAGUGCGUAAUAGCUCACUGGUUAAGCGUUCUUGCACCGAAAAUGUCCGGGACUAAAUGAUCUGCCGAAGCUGUGGGAUAUUAAUUAUAAUAUCGGUAGAGGAGCGUUCUGCUCUAGGGUGAAGCAAUUAUGUAAGUAAUUGUGGACGAAGCAGAAGUGAGAAUGUCGGCUUGAGUAACGCAAACAUUGGUGAGAAUCCAAUGCCCCGAAAACCUAAGGAUUCCUCCACUAGGUUCGUCCUUGGAGGGUGAGUCAGGACCUAAGGCGAGGCUGAAAAGCGUAGUCGAUGGCAAACAGGUUAAUAUUCCUGUACUAUUUUAUAUUUGGUACCGAGGGACGGAGAAGGUAGAGAUUUGCUGUUAUUGGAUUUCAGUGCAAGUCUUCGAGGUGUUGAGAGGUAGAAGAAAAACUAUCCUUGAGCUAAGAAACGAUGCGCACUUACUUUUUAAGUAAGUGUUUAUUAUCUAUCAUGCUUCCAAGAAAAGCUCGAACUACUGUUAAAUAUAAAAUACCUGUACCGUAAACCGACACAGGUAGGUUAGUAGAGUAUACUAAGGGGGCGCGAGAUAACUCUCUCUAAGGAACUCGGCAAAAUGACCCCGUAACUUCGGGAGAAGG